CCAAGCAGCCGUCCCCACGACCCCUGCCUGGCUCUGCUGUCCCCAGACCUUGCCCAAACCUCCAUCCCAGCAGGAAGGACAACGAGGGUCGGACCCGCCACUGCCUCCGACCCACCGCCCACGCCACCGACCCGGCCACGAUUUAUCAUUAACUUGCCCUGAGGAAUUUCAAGGGCGCAGAGCCAGCCUGGGAAGCGCUCGCUCCUCCCCAGACACCGCGCUCGGAGCAAGCUCCCAUGGUGGCAUGUCCCCACGGUGGCUUGUCCCUACCACCGGCAUUAGCGCUGCUAACCAGAGUGAUGCCCCAAAAUCCAUUGGGGUGCAAGGUGCCGGUGCUGGUGGAUGUCAGCUAGAUCCAGGCCCAUUUGGACAAAUGGGAUGGUGUCCAUCACCCCAGAAGCUGGACCUGAAUCCUGCCCUCCCUCCUUUGCCGUCACUUCUUUGCCAUACAACACCUGCCCAUCUUUCAGAGCAGAGCCCUGGUGAUACAGGAUGGUCCAGAGCUCCUUCUCCUCCCUCCCUGGCUGCCAGCACUGCGGCAGGAGAGCAAUCAGGCUUCCCAUCAGGGGCCGGUCGGCCUCAGCACUUAUACUGAAUUAUUUGCAGUCAUGAAGGGAGUGAAAUGAGGGAAAUAAAGCUACACGAAGCUGCUGCUAA